GCAUGAAGCGCAUUCGGGUAC
rnacentral:siRNA from 1 species